rnacentral:rRNA from 1 species
UGUGCCUACGGGACGCAGCAGUGGGGAAUAUUGGACAAUUGGGGAAACCCUGAUCCAGCGACGCCGCGUGAGUGAAGAAGUAUUUCGGUAUGUAAAGCUCUAUCAGCAGGGAAGAAAAUGACGGUACCUGACUAAGAAGCCCCGGCUAACUAAGUGCCAGCAGCCGCGGUAAUACGUAGGGGGCAAGCGUUAUCCGGAUUUACUGGGGGUAAAGGGAGCGUAGACGGCAUUGCAAGUCUGAUGUGAAAGAUUGGGGCUCAACCCCAGGCCUGCAUUGGAAACUGUAAAGCUGGAGAACAGGAGAG